AAAUAAGAAGCAAAAAAUUGUGAUUAGUUUCGACCUAAUUUUAGAUAUAAAUAUAUCCUUAUUUU
rnacentral:tRNA from 1 species